GUCAGCACAGAUCCCGACUUGGGCUCAAUCUCACAAACUCCUGAGAUGAUGACCUGAGCUGAAAUCAAGGAUCCAACACUUAACUGCUUGACCACUGAGCCCCUCAGGCGCCCUCAACUGAGUACAUUUUAAAGGUCUAGUUGGCUUUAUUAUGAGUCAGUUCAUGAAUCUGGCAACAUCCCAACUAGCAGGUCCAUGGAACACGAAAAGUUCUCAAAGGCAGAGAGAGAGAGAGCAGAAAAAAAAUUAUUAGCAGAGAGUCCAUUGUUUUAGGCAAGGUCACCCUCCUAAGGGGAAGGGAAGGGGUCCAUCAGUAAAUUUCCUAGUGCUGUCUGUGAAAUUCCCAUGUUGACCGGCUAAGGGUUAUAUUCCUGGGGCACUGAAACUGCCUUCAGGUUAGGUGGGAAGUCUUGGUUUACACUUGGGGCUUUAACCUAAGUGAUGCCAUUUUGGGCCUGUGGUUUUCUUUUUAGCCCCCCUCCCCUGCCAAUAACUCCCCCCCCCCCAAAGUCAACCUUUCUUAUAUGCUUGAUGUGUUUCCGGUUUUCAUACCGUAUUUAUUUUUGCAAAUGGGUGUUGGCUUUUGUUUGCGAGUUUAAUUUAUAUGCAGAAUAGUGCAUUGCCGACCUUAUUCUAUUGCUUUUUCUGCACUGAGAACCACGUUUUUGAAAUUGUCAGUGUCAGUAGGUGAGUGUCUAAUACUUGCUUCCAGUUCUUGCAAAGUGCUCCUGUGUGCCACUUACCUUUCUGUCUCCUGGGGGGGACACCUGGGGCCCUCCCACCUCCCCCAGCACACACAGCAGCUCAGGAUGGAAUGGGGACGACCGGGCCCCUGACCACUGCCGACCUCUGACCUCUGACACUGUGCAUUCACCCUCUGUUCUUCCGCGGGAGUCACCCUGUCAUCCACAGCUGCCCUGAGCCAGGCCACAGCUUCCCUGGGAUCUCUGCUGGGGACACUGAGUGGCUCCUCCCUGGUGGAAUCCCCUGCUGCGGCCUUGACCAUCUCCCCACUUGGAGGACCCUGACCUCGGUGUUUGUCGCGCCGGCCACGACAGAAGACAACACUGACCCUCAUGUAUGAAUGAAGGAACGUUGGCCAAAAGCCCUGGACCAGGAGUCAAGGUUGGCGCAGCUGUGAUGGGAGGAGGUGAGUCUCUGCAAGGAAGAGGUUCAAGUCCUUAUCUGCCCCCCCCAGCCCCAAGGACUUGGGGAGCAACCAUCCUCGUCCAGGCCCAGGGGGCCUGCCGAGGGCCAUUCCCCCAACAGACAAUACCCCAGGUAGUUUUAAGGCCAAAUUACCUAAAAGCGGGAGUACCAGAAGCUUCCCUGUCGGCGGGCCACCCUGCAGUCACCAGUCCGUCCACAGCCCGGGCCCUGCCACUCAGGCUGGGUAGCUCGGCUUCCAGCACACCCCUGCAGGAGAGCCUGACACCAGACAUCUAGGAAGGCUCAGACACGAAAGAGAAGCAGUGUUUCUGGCCCUCUCUCUCCUUUCGCCCCGAGCCCUGAGACACUCACCUUCUGACCGAAAUGCAGCUUCAUCACCGGCUUCCCCACCGGAGAGGAGAGGGACCCAGGGGGGACCACAGUGGCUGGUCUGAGAGUGUGGAAAGCAGUGGGCACAGAGAGGGAUCCCGAGAUGAGGGGAAUGUAGCUGGCCCAGGAAGGUUGCGGGUGGAGAUGCUAUGACUUGCAUUAGCACCCAGUCUGGGCGAGAGAAGAAGGGGAGCCCUGCCACCGUCCUCCUGAGUCCCCAUAGUGACUUCGGAGACACCUCUAAGGCACCCCGGAUACUCACAGAGCAACUUAAAAGGGCUGGAACAGGAGGAUCAAGACAAAUAACAUUAAAAACAGAUCUACUAUGGGGGGGGCGCGUGGGUAGCUCAGUUGGUUGAGCAUGCGACUUCAG